rnacentral:ncRNA from 1 species
UGUCUCCUCCAUCUCCUCAAAACGGAUGGAUUAAGCCCCUGGCCUUGCGGCCUGGGGCUUUUUUU